rnacentral:rRNA from 1 species
GAGUUUGAUCGUGGCUCAGAACGAACGCUGGCGGCGUGGAUAAGACAUGCAAGUUGAACGCGACAUUCACGGUAGCAAUAUCGUGGAUGUUGAGUAGCGCAAGGGUGCGUAACACGUGAGAAUCUACCAUGAAGUUGGGGAUAAUUCCGGGAAACCGGAACUAAUACCGAAUGUGACCGCAAGGUUAAAGCUGGGGACCGCAAGGCCUGGCGCUUCUUGAUGAGCUCGCGGCCUAUCAGCUAGUUGGCGGGGUAACGGCCCACCAAGGCAAAGACGGGUAGCUGGUCUGAGAGGACGACCAGCCACACUGGAACUGAGACACGGUCCAGACACCUACGGGUGGCAGCAGUCGAGAAUUUUUCUCAAUGGGCGCAAGCCUGAAGGAGCGACGCCGCGUGGGGGAUGAAGGGUUUCGAUCCGUAAACCCCUGUCAUUCGUGAACAAUGGUCAUCGUUGAAUAUUCGGUGGCUUGAUAGUAACGGAAGAGGAAGGGACGGCUAACUCUGUGCCAGCAGCCGCC